rnacentral:lncRNA from 1 species
UACAUUGUCAUAGAAGUAUAAAAAUCAGGAAAUGUGGUAGGAUUGCCAAUGACACAACUAUCCACCAAAGCUCAAACUAAGUGGAUGUAAUCAAUUAUAAGUAACCGUACGGCUUCGACAAUGAGAAAAACCUUUGCCGUUCUCCUUUGUUUUCGUUGCCAGUAUAACUAAAUUGAAAUUUAACUUUUGGUACUGAUUCCAUACUUUUUU